UGAGGAAUAUUGGUCAAUGGGCGAGAGCCUGAACCAGCCAAGUAGCGUGCAGGAUGACGGCCCUAUGGGUUGUAAACUGCUUUUAUGUGGGGAUAAAGUGCGUGACGUGUCCAUUAUUGCAUGUACCAUAUGAAUAAGGACCGGCUAAUUCCGUGCCAGCAGCCGCGGUAAUACGGAAGGUCCAGGCGUUAUCCGGAUUUAUUGGGUUUAAAGGGAGCGUAGGCUGUUUGUUAAGCGUGUUGUGAAAUGUAAGAGCUCAACUUUUAGAUUGCAGCGCGAACUGGCAGACUUGAGUGCGCACAACGUAGGCGGAGUUCAUGGUGUAGCGGUGAAAUGCUUAGAUAUCAUGACGAACUCCGAUUGCGAAGGCAGCUUACGGGAGCGCAACUGACGCUAAAGCUCGAAGGUGCGGGUAUCGAACAGG
rnacentral:rRNA from 1 species